rnacentral:rRNA from 1 species
UCGAGCGGUAACAUUUCUAGCUUGCUAGAAGAUGACGAGCGGCGGACGGGUGAGUAACGCGUAGGAAUCUGCCUAGUAGAGGGGGACAACAUGUGGAAACGCAUGCUAAUACCGCAUACGCCCUACGGGGGAAAGGAGGGGAUCUUCGGACCUUCCGCUAUUAGAUGAGCCUGCGUAAGAUUAGCUAGUUGGUGGGGUAAAGGCUCACCAAGGCGACGAUCUUUAACUGGUCUGAGAGGAUGACCAGUCACACUGGGACUGAGACACGGCCCAGACUCCUACGGGAGGCAGCAGUGGGGAAUAUUGGACAAUGGGCGAAAGCCUGAUCCAGCCAUGCCGCGUGUGUGAAGAAGGCCUUAGGGUUGUAAAGCACUUUCAGGAGUGAGGAAGGGUGCUUGGUUAAUACCCAAGUAUUUUGACGUUAGCUCCAGAAGAAGCACCGGCUAACUCUGUGCCAGCAGCCGCGGUAAU